GACGAACGCUGGCGGCGUGCUUAACACAUGCAAGUCGAACGAUGAAGCUGGAGCUUGCUCCGGUGGAUUAGUGGCGAACGGGUGAGUAACACGUGAGUAAUCUGCCCUUGACUCUGGGAUAACUGCGGGAAACUGUAGCUAAUACCGGAUACGACACCUUCGGGCAUCCGAUGGGUGUGGAAAGAAUUUCGGUCAAGGAUGAACUCGCGGCCUAUCAGCUAGUUGGUGAGGUAAUGGCUCACCAAGGCGACGACGGGUAGCCGGCCUGAGAGGGUGACCGGCAACGCUGGGACUGAGACACGGCCCAGACUCCUACGGGGGGCAGCAGUGGGGAAUAUUGCACAAUGGGCGAAAGCCUGAUGCAGCAACGCCGCGUGAGGGAUGAAGGCCUUCGGGUUGUAAACCUCUUUUAGUUGGGAAGAAGCGAAAGUGACGGUACCAACAGAAAAAGCACCGGCUAACUACGUGCCAGCAGCCGCCGUAA
rnacentral:rRNA from 1 species